rnacentral:SRP_RNA from 1 species
GCCGGGCGUGGUGGCGUGUGCCUGUAAUCCCAGCUACUCAGGAGGCUGAGGCAGGAGAAUCGCUUGAACCUGGGAGGUGGGGAUUGCAGUGAGCUGAGAUCGCGCCACUGUACUCCAGCCUGGGGUACAGAGAGAGACUCUGUCUCAA